CAGUCGCCGCGGGAACACGUAGGUGGCAAGCGUUGUCCGGAAUUAUUGGGCGUAAAGCGCGCGCAGGCGGAUCGGUCAGUCUGUCUUAAAAGUUCGGGGCUUAACCCCGUGAUGGGAUGGAAACUGCCAAUCUAGAGUAUCGGAGAGGAAAGUGGAAUUCCUAGUGUAGCGGUGAAAUGCGUAGAUAUUAGGAAGAACACCAGUGCGAAGGCGACUUUCUGGACGAAAACUGACGCUGAGGCGCGAAAGCCAGGGGAGCGAACGGGAUUAGAUACCCCUGUAGUCCCUGUCUCUUAUACAC
rnacentral:rRNA from 1 species